AGAGUUUGAUUCCUGGCUCAGAGUGAACGCUGGCGGCGUGCCUAAUACAUGCAAGUCGAACGAUGAAGCUUCUAGCUUGCUAGAAUGCUGAUUAGUGGCGCACGGGUGAGUAACGCAUAGGUCAUGUGCCUCUUAGUUUGGGAUAGCCAUUGGAAACGAUGAUUAAUACCAGAUACUCCCUACGGGGGAAAGAUUUAUCGCUAAGAGAUCAGCCUAUGUCCUAUCAGCUUGUUGGUAAGGUAAUGGCUUACCAAGGCUAUGACGGGUAUCCGGCCUGAGAGGGUGAACGGACACACUGGAACUGAGACACGGUCCAGACUCCUACGGGAGGCAGCAGUAGGGAAUAUUGCUCAAUGGGGGAAACCCUGAAGCAGCAACGCCGCGUGGAGGAUGAAGGUUUUAGGAUUGUAAACUCCUUUUGUUAGAGAAGAUAAUGACGGUAUCUAACGAAUAAGCACCGGCUAACUCCGUGCCAGCAGCCGCGGUAAUACGGAGGGUGCAAGCGUUACUCGGAAUCACUGGGCGUAAAGAGCGCGUAGGCGGGAUAGUCAGUCAGGUGUGAAAUCCUAUGGCUUAACCAUAGAACUGCAUUUGAAACUACUAUUCUAGAGUGUGGGAGAGGUAGGUGGAAUUCUUGGUGUAGGGGUAAAAUCCGUAGAGAUCAAGAGGAAUACUCAUUGCGAAGGCGACCUGCUGGAACAUUACUGACGCUGAUUGUGCGAAAGCGUGGGGAGCAAACAGGAUUAGAUACCCUGGUAGUCCACGCCCUAAACGAUGGAUGCUAGUUGUUGGAGGGCUUAGUCUCUCCAGUAAUGCAGCUAACGCAUUAAGCAUCCCGCCUGGGGAGUACGGUCGCAAGAUUAAAACUCAAAGGAAUAGACGGGGACCCGCACAAGCGGUGGAGCAUGUGGUUUAAUUCGAAGAUACACGAAGAACCUUACCUAGGCUUGACAUUGAGAGAAUCCGCUAGAAAUAGUGGAGUGUCUAGCUUGCUAGACCUUGAAAACAGGUGCUGCACGGCUGUCGUCAGCUCGUGUCGUGAGAUGUUGGGUUAAGUCCCGCAACGAGCGCAACCCCCUUUCUUAGUUGCUAACAGGUCAUGCUGAGAACUCUAAGGAUACUGCCUCCGUAAGGAGGAGGAAGGUGGGGACGACGUCAAGUCAUCAUGGCCCUUACGCCUAGGGCUACACACGUGCUACAAUGGGGUGCACAAAGAGAAGCAAUACUGCGAAGUGGAGCCAAUCUUCAAAACGCCUCUCAGUUCGGAUUGUAGGCUGCAACUCGCCUGCAUGAAGCUGGAAUCGCUAGUAAUCGCAAAUCAGCCAUGUUGCGGUGAAUACGUUCCCGGGUCUUGUACUCACCGCCCGUCACACCAUGGGAGUUGUGUUGCCAUUAAGUCAGGAUGCUAAAUGGCUACGCCACGC
rnacentral:rRNA from 1 species